UACAGAGGGUGCGAGCGUUGUUCGGAAUCAUUGGGCGUAAAGCGCUUGUAGGCGGCCUGUCAAGUCGCGUGUGAAAUCCCUUGGCUUAACCAAGGAAGUGCGCGCGAAACUGGCGGGCUUGAGUGCCGGAGAGGGUCGCGGAAUUCCCGGUGUAGAGGUGAAAUUCGUAGAUAUCGGGAGGAACACCAGUGGCGAAGGCGGCGACCUGGACGGAGCACU
rnacentral:rRNA from 1 species